UUCAUUUCUCUCAAGCUCAGUGUUGCAUCAGCGAAUAGUAGAAUCCGAGCAUUCCAAGAAUAUGAAAAAUUCCAGGAAAUUUAUCGAGUGAAAAAGGAAGAUAGAUCAUUUGCAUAUGCGGCAAAUGUCUCUUUUUUCUGUAAUAUAUAUUUAUAUCGGCUAUCGGGAAGCGAGUGCAAGCGACAACAAGCGUCGCAACGCCGCAGAAAUAAAUUUCAGAAAAUAAUGUACGCGGGUUUUCACGCACUUCGUGCGAAAUUUAAAGACGCAGAAAUGCGGAGAAUAAUGCUUCGAAUAUUUGAAACAGAGUUUAACGAAUAAAACAAAACUCUUUAGCGUAAAAAUAUAAAUUCGCAUAAAGAUUCACAAUGCGAUCAUUAGCUUUCGCUAUUUUCCGGACUGGAAAAUUGAUCGUACGAUCAUUGCGCUGUCCACUGAUCAUCAUUCGACUAAAAUUGCAUAAACAGUGGAUCGAUCCACGUGUCUGAUGAUAACUGUUUAACGUUCUUAAUGGACGAUCAUCGUGUUCGUCCAUCUGGUCUGACAGAAAAGUGUUGGAAAUUUAGGCAUCUUAAUUAACCCGGGGCUAAAAUUAUCGCUCUCUGAUCUCGGUUCUAUUCGCGUCUCCGAUCUGUGACGUCACGCAGCUCGGGAUACGCGUGACGUCGACGAGGAAAGUGCAACGUUGCGUCAUUCCCGGAUCGCUUUAAAUCGAUCAAUCGGACUACUUAAGCACGUGGCGUUUUCAUCGAGUCAUCGGCCAAACGUCCCGACCGCGAACUGUUAUCAAUAAAACGCACAUGUUCCGUGAUUCGAUAUGACGUUUUGUUGAAAAGCGAAAUCAAGCGGAAAAUUGUAUCGACUUACUGAUAUCGUUCGUCAACUCGGUUAUCUGGCUAUUUCCCGGGAUUUUAUUUGUCAUUGAUAUCUUUCUGAUAAUUGCUUUUAUAGAAAUUAAAUAUUGUUCGUAUAUCGUUUUAUCUAUAUUUUUAAUUAAAUUUUACAUCGAACAAAAUUACAAAACGUAUAUUAUUCACUUGUAUCUUUUUCUUUUUCAUAACUUCUAUUUUACAGAAACGCUAAUUAUAUAAACUAUCGUAGAAUUUGAAUGAAGCAUCGGCGAAUUCGAAACAGAAAUUAAUAACAAAUUAUAGAAUGUUUAUCGAGACGUUAACGAAGAAAAUAGUCAUCGCUGAAGAGAAAAUUUAAAGUGUACAUUUUUGCAUGCCAUUUAAAGCAGCGACGAGCAAAGAUACAGGAUACGCGUCAACAGACCGAAUGCUGACUCAUCUUUUUACUAAUAUACACAAAUCGGAUAUAUAUUCGAUCGAGUAGCGGAAGUUGAGGGUGGCAUUGUCGAAGUUGGCGCCACGAUAAAUCAAUGCUAUUUCCACAAUGUGUGAAUGAGGGCUCUCUAUUUUGCCUGUCGAUCGACUAUUUUUAGAAAAUGCUAAGAAAUUUCACACUGGAGUGCCCUAGCUUUCCUGUCUAUCCCGAGAAACAACGCUAAAAUUACUCGUGAUUUACUAAAAUUAACAGCGAUAUUUAUCUCCGACUCUUGAAGGCUCCCAUCGUGAUUUUAAAAAUAAUAAUGUCAAACAAUGCCAUCGAUUCAAUUAUUAAUUGGUAUUAAAUAAACAAGAGGAAUGUUAUUGUUUACACUGAUUACAAAUAUCAUGGUAUUACUGGAUGGUAAUAUUAAAAAGAAAUUAAAAAUUUACACGGGGUGAAAGUUCAUCCGAAAUAUUAAUAAAAAAAAAAAUAAUAUCGAAAUAUUGAUCUCGAAAUACUUCAAGGCAAGUUUUUUCCUCGAAAAUCAAAUCUUAUCGAGGAUUUCCGUUUCUUCUAAUUUUCCUUCUAUUUUCAUGUUCUAGAAGCGUGCAUGAUCCAACAACUUGUGAACUAUCUCGGACCAAUAGCUAUCGGAUCAAUGUGUAACAUCAGAAACUUGCAGAAAAAGGGGAUUCACGUGAUAGAUUUAGUUUCUGACUCGUAACCGGCGGAAUUUCUCUCCACAUUGGAAAAAUUCCGCCCACGAACAGAAUGCGUCACGAACGAGCUCGCAAGCUCGUAAGGGGCCCUCAAUUAUAUAUUAACAUUCCGAACAGAUCGCACCAAUUUUCUUGCGGGGAAGAAGUCGAACUACUUUGUGUAUACAUCCGUGUAACAGUUGACGCAUUGGGUUUCGAUUUAUUGCCUUUGCUAUUAAUUACAGUGAGAAUGUUAGUUUACUGCUCUUUUGUAUAUGCGAACUUAUUGUGUGUUUUAGCGUAAUGAAAGACAAGUCUGAGUUCUUUGAGCGUUCGGUACAUUUCCCUCUAAACUACUCUAUGCUGCUGUACUAAUUUUGCAUCUUUCAAAUAGCAUCUUUUUACAGGAACAUGGUAAUUAACGCUGGAAUUGUCGAUCGUUAGAAUGUAGAAUUUAUAGCAAAGAAAUGAAAAUGAAAAGGUUGACGAAAGAAUAUUCGUAGACUUGUGAAGCGUGACAUUGAAAUUCUGAAAAAUACGCUGUUCAAGAUUUAUAAAAUUUCCACGAGGAAGUUGCAAUUGACCAUUUCGAUCAUUCUGAUAUUCUUGCCAUUAAAACACGAGCUAUUAUUAUUUGAAACUUUCUACUUUUCAAAUAACGAGAAAAUCAUUACGGCUGACUGCUAAAUUGUUCUCACGGGACGACAAAGUAUCGAAUGAAAAUGACAGAUUGACGUUGGAGCCAAGCAGACGCGAUGAGAUAAAUUGACAUGGAAGAGAAGAAGGCUGGAACAAAAGGCGCGCGUGGCUAAAAUAAAUUCUCGAACGUGAACAAAUCAUCCCGCUGAGCCGCUAUAAACCGAAAAAUCAAUACGCAAAAACGUAAACGCACGAAAAUUAGAUCGGAUCGUGUAAAUCAAGAAGCGCGGCUGGAGUCUUCGACUUUCUUAAAAUAACGCCUGAACGUUCGAGUUCUUUGCGUGGAGAACGUAUGAAAAAAAAAAAACUGAAGAGAAGAAGAAGAAGAAGAAGGAGAAGAUUCGUGUUCAUCGACCAGGUGGCGCCGGUACUUCUCAAAUCAAAACAUUUACUUCCUGUCACGAUGAAGAUAAGUAGUUUCUCAAAAAAAAAAAAAAAAAAAAGAAAAUAGUUUUGACAUGCAUGCAUUGCGAUAGACAAGCAUAGAAAAAUUUCUGAAUCUCGUUAUUGAUAACGUAGCAACGCAAAAGUUACGAGGUAACCAUUUAUCUACAUUUUUUAAACGAAAUUUAUAAUUUCUCGAGCGAAUAGUUUCUCUUCAAUUCGAACAUUUCAUAAUGCCUAAUCUGUACGUAUAGAUUAUUGUUCUCGGAAUAAAAGGCAGUCGAAGAAUUUGGAGGGAAAUUAUCGAAUUUGUUUUCGCAAAAAUAAUGUAACAAUCGUUCGUAUCGAUGUGAUAUAAAUAGUCCUGAAACCUUAGAGUUGAAAUUACAUUUUCCAAAAUACGUUGAUCAAUACGUAAUUAAAAAUUCUGUGUAGGAAUAAAUUAUUUGUUUAAAUCGCUGUUUACCUUUAACCCCUUGCACACCGAAUUUUAUUUCAAUUUCGUUACCCACAAUUCCCAACGUUUUUAAGUGUUUUACUUGAAAUUUACUUUAACUAAAAAAUAAGACAAUUUAAAUAAAUAAAGGAAGAAAGAAAUUCACUUAAAUACCAGUUUUAUUCACACUGUUGUCGUAUUUUGUAACUUUUAAGUGUAUGAUAUAUCUUGAAACAAUUUCCAGGUACAAUCCUAGUUUUCCUUCGCACGUUGUGCGAAAAAUGGUGGGACUGAAAGAAUGUCAAGUGGGACUCGACAAAGGAGCUCCUGAGAUAAAAACUGAUGUCGAGUCACACUCGACAUAGGAGUGGAAAGGGUUAAACGAAGUAUUAUAACGGUGACAUAAAAACCUAAAACAAAACGCUCGUAUGUUUAAAAGAUUUUUACGCAGUUUUUCUUGCACAAUGCUAAUUCAUUUUCGCAUAACUUAUAUGUAUAGUUCAUGGAGCGGAAUAGGGAACAGGCAUCGUUGAAACUUUUUAUUAAUCACUGCUUCGCUCGAUUUAUCUUUUUUUCUUCCUUCGUUUUCCAAAUUUCACGCGAUCUAAAUCGAUCGUCUCGACCCAGAAACGUUGAAUAGUAACGUCACAGGGUCGCCUAUUGGCAUUUAAUUGCACGAAACUGUUAGCUUAAAUCCGGUAAGAGAAUCUGGCAACGAAUGUGUUGCCUCGGCCGUCUCGGCCGUCGUACACACCACAGAAUAUAGAAUAAGCGGCUGUAAGCCGGCGUCGCGGCGCGUCGUUCUGACGUAUCCAUCAAAAAAUAACCACUUGCGGUCCGUCGUUCGAACGUCUGGCCCCUGACUCGCAUAGUGGCCAUCGAUAAACGCUCUCGUCGUGAUCCGCGGACACUGACGCAAUCGAUGACGACGUUUAUGAUCGCAUUCACGAUCCGUCACGCGACGCUGCCUCCUCGAGCCCCUCCGCCGUGUUCUCUCGUAGUUUUGAUAAAGCAUCAUCGAACGAUCAUGAUGCAACCGAUAUACAAGUUACAAGUGGAACGUGCGUACGUCGCCAUUCUGAUACUUUGAUAUUGGUUCUUCUGCUUUUGUACGUUUUAUUUACGCAAUGUUGCUAAGGUCAGGAUAUUAGGACUUGGUGCGAAUCUCUCUAAAAUGAUCGAGAUUUUUCACUCUUUCGUAGCAUGGCACGUUACAUUUUAAAUUGACAAUUUAAAUGUCAUCGUAUGACUGAAUAAUCGUAGCGACGCCGACUAAGAUUUCUAGAAUUUGCAUUCGGUCUUUGGGCUUAGCAAACUACGAUGCGUAACGCAAUUAAUAAGAUUAUUUAUUGCCUGUAAGAAAUUGUAAAUAUGUAUCCUCUGUAUCUAAUAGGAAAGAUAUGAAAAUCGAAAUUAAUAAUAUAAAUAAUAUAAAUGGAAUGGAUUCAUAAAUCGUAUUCGUAUAUUCGAGAGAUUCUCCGUGUGUCCAUUUCUCGCUCGUUCGUUCGAAUUUACAUUUGCAAUUUCCGCAACAACAAUUAUGGCAAGUCGUAGUUCAACGAUUUGCAUAUUCAUUUACGUGUAAUUUCUCCCCAACGCCACGAUCGAGUAAAUUACUUCGCGUGAUCGAUUAAUCUAUCCACUUCGAGACACUUUGCUUGAGAAAUAGAGAAUAAGAAGAAAAAAUAGGAGGGAACGAGUAGAAUAUAGAAACGUGGCUAUUCGCGUUUAUUGCGUCUAUUUUUACGAUAUCUAUAUUUUCGCAUUGAGAGACACUGAAAUUUCUAUCGGCUACGUUGAGAACGCGUUCCGCGUGCAGAUUAGUUCACGUCAAUCUAAAACAGGUGACUCGGAUUUCUAUUCGCGCGUGGGCGUGUUCCUCUAUCGUGUUCUCGCCUCUUCGACCGAGCAGUCAUCGAGAAAACCGAGUAAAAUUCCUGAUUGUGUAUUCGUGCUGGCCAUUCUCAACAAUCUACUUGCAUUUCAUGUGUGUAAUUUUGGUUUGUACGAUUCGACAGUCCCCAUCUGCCAAAAUAAACGCCACAUUGUUGCCGGUAUCGCGAUAAAAUAUAAUACACCGCAAACAUAAUUUCCUUUUCCAAGUAUUCCACGAUAUCUGUCGCUGAUUUCAUUGUAGAAAUCCUCUAAAUGUCUAAAUGUCUAAAUGUCUUAAUGUCUAAAAAUAGUAGCGCGAGUACUUGUGUGGAAAGAUUGGUGACAGAAUCGAUCGAUUAGCGAUCGACACGCUUGGCUGACUGGAUACGAUCUUAUACUACUGCAGCAAGGACAUUCUCGUUGUACACAGCGAAAUAUAAAAUAGAAUAUGUUCUAGGAAAGGGAGAUGAUUGUUUUAGCAUUGAAUACGCUAUUCUAAGGAAUUAAUGCUUUUUAUUUUCUUUAGAACUAAUCGUAAAAAAUAUUUUUAAUUAAUCAAAUGAAAUUCAAAUGAAAUUAAUGAAAUGGAAUGGUCGAUCGAAUAAAUUCCACAUACUCGGUGAUGUAUAUAACUCUGAUUAAAAGAUUAGAUAAAUCUUUCCAAGUAUAUAAGUAAUAUUUAAUAGAAAUUUGCUAUAAAGAUACAAAUAGAAAAAAUGUAAAAGAAAAGUAAGAAAAAUUCUUCGAUUUUUAACUCUUCUUAACACUAAUAUUCUUCGAAUCCGUAUUGCUACAUUAUUACGUGAUAAUUGGGUUGUUGGUUGACACGCCUAUGACGGAUGAGAAACGAAUGUAUCUUGCU